GUUGACCUUGGGUCCUGGACUAUGUCACUUUAUCCUAGUUGUAGAAGUCCUGCAAACAUUGUGUUUGCUGGUAGUCUGUUGGCAUCUACAGUAGCACCAAUGCUGUUUACUUUCACGUUGACUGGACCCCAUUUGUAAUCAUCUGAAGUAUUUAUCUGCAUUAUAUCUGAAUUUAAUUGCAAUGAUACGAGCAAGCAGGAGCGUCUGUUUGUGGGCGGGGCUUGCUGGAGCAGAGAGGGAGGGGAGAGGAGGAGCUGAGGGUAAAACUGGUUGGGAGGGGUAGAGUUUACAUUCAAGAUUUCUCCCCAAAACUGGCUCUUCCUCAGAUCCUGACUACCCCACCUUUAAAUGGUUCAAAGCAUAAACACGAGAGAACUGAACGAACUACCAAACUGUUGCCAAGCAAUGCAAACAAUUUCUGGCUAUUGCUCCUAUAUGAAUGUUUACAUAUUACCACUUACUCCCAUCUAUUUGUUUCAUGUAAUUUAUGAUCACAGAAAAUUGGGUGUAAAAGAAUUUCUUGGCGGCAUGUUCAACAAAUUAAUCUUAAAGCAGAUGCAUAAAAAAGAUGAAGAAAAAGCAGUGAUAUGAAUUUCACUUUCUGUCAUAAACAUAGAAACUCCUCACAGGAGCUUUAAGAGAGUGCUUUUGUUGGCAGAAGGUGUGCAACGUCAGUCCAAGAACUCCACCUGCUGGGCUGCUCCUGCACAAGCUUUGGCCGCUCUAUUGUAAUCUAUCAGUGACAGGCGAGGUUAUCUUUUGGCUUCUCUCAAAUCUCAUGCAAAGAUGGCUUAAUGUCAUCCGACAUGCAGUCAAUUUUCUUGAUGAAAUGUCUACUUUUGCAUCAAUUAAAGAUACUCAAAACUCCAGAGGCAGAAUAACACACACAGUUUAAAGCAUAUGGGGUGAUACACUUCACAUUUAUCACACUUUGGUCUUCUUACAGUGAUUUUUAAAGUUUCUACCAUCAAUGUGCCUCCUCUGACCUCUGUCAUGAGUCUUUUUCUUGCAUGGAGCAGUUUCAGUGGCCUUGUGCCUCUGUUUUUUGGACUGCCUGGUAAAUAAAUCAGAGUUUUACAACACUAAUAUCACUUUACACCAAACAUUAGAAACAUUAUACAACUGUAUUGAAAGUUAUUUAUUCAUAGCUGAUUUAUCAUCUUCUUCUAAUGAAUCUAUUUACGGUUAAAAGGCCUUUCCCCCCCACACACACACAUAAUGCUUUGUGCUCAUUGUUUCUUCACUUGCGGUUUGCUCUUUGUUACUGUCUGAUAUGAUGGAUGUGAAGAGUUUUACGCUGGAGGGCCUUUUUUUCAUUCUUCUGUUGCAGUUUUUUUUUAGAGUUCGCCUCAAUCUCCUUGCAUUAAAUAUGUGAAUACAUUAGAGGGAUUUUGCAACUUUUGAAUCUGGUAUCAAUCCAAAAUUUGAUCUACACAAGAGUGAUGUAGGAACCUUCAACACAGCUAACGGGAUUUUCAGUGAAGCGGGAGACAUCUUGUGUCCAGCUGUUAAACUCUUGAAAUAAACAGUAUUUGCAUACUCAGGGAUUCUGGGGUUUCAAUAAGGCAGAAGGAGAAGAUUUGGUUUCUAAAAUUCAUCAUUAUUGACGUUUUCAUACAAAAAAGAAAAGACAGAUCAAACGAGGCAGAAUAAUUUCCGUCUCCAAACAAUUUUAGUCAAUCACGAACUGAUGCACAACAGUUAAAGC